UACGUAGGGUGCAAGCGUUGUCCGGAAUUAUUGGGCGUAAAGAGCUCGUAGGCGGUCUGUCGCGUCGGAUGUGAAAACCCAGGGCUCAACCCUGGGCCUGCAUUCGAUACGGGCAGACUAGAGUUCGGUAGGGGGAGACUGGAAUUCCUGGUGUAGCGGUGAAAUGCGCAGAUAUCAGGAGGAACACCAGUGGCGAAGGCGGCGAUCUGGGUCGAUACUGACGCUGAGGAGCGAAAGCGUGGGGGAGCGAACAGG
rnacentral:rRNA from 1 species